GAAGAACCCUUCGAUUUUAAGGUCUUUGGAAGGGAGUCACCUUUCAUCAGAGACGACAGCCUCGGCCAUUCACGACAACGGAAUGCAAACCGUCAGGUACCGGUGCGUGGUCAACAGAGAUGAGAGAAGGGUUGCCUUUGUCGUUUUGGUGCAAUGGCGCCAGUGGCGUCAGGCCUCGGGACGAAGUGCCUCGGGCGGCACGAGAGGAACGGCGGCUAAAAUUUUUAGUUUUACUGAAAAUAGUUUAAGUUGCGGGCCAUUUGGGCUUUAAAGUUUUGUAUUAUUUGAGUUUGUAAAUUUUGGGCUUUCAAGUCUUGUAAAUGGACUUUGGAUUUUAACGGA